GCCCUGCUGGAGGAGCUCUGGGGACCUGUCGCCUCCCCAGAACGAUCCUCAGUAAUGCGACCACCUCAGGAUGUGACCGCGGGUGCCGGGAUCGGUGUUGGAAAGGAAGAUAAUGGGGUGAUGCCCUUCGGAGCUGUGGGCCC
ensembl:lincRNA